AAUGUGGUUCAAAUGCUGAAC
rnacentral:miRNA from 1 species